rnacentral:rRNA from 1 species
AGCAGCCGCGGUAAUUCCAGCUCCAAUAGCGUAUAUUAAAGUUGUUGCAGUUAAAAGCUCGUAGUUGAAUUUCGGGGUUCAUACGUUGGUCGGGCUUUUUGGUCUGUACUGGCGUAAUGGAUUCCUACCUUCUGAAUAACCGGCAUGCCAUUAAUUUGGUGCGCCGGGGAAGCAGGACUGUUACCUUGAAAAAAUUAGAGUGCUUAAAGCAGGCUAUCGCCUGAAUACAUUAGCAUGGAAUAAUGAAAUAGGACGGCAUGGCUCUAUUUUGUUGGUUUCUAGGAUCACCGUAAUGAUUAAUAGGGAUAGUUGGGGGCAUUAGUAUUCAAUUGUCAGAGGUGAAAUUCUUGGAUUUAUUGAAGACUAACUUCUGCGAAAGCAUUUGCCAAGGAUGUUUUCAUUAAUCAAGAACGAAAGUUAGGGGAUCGAAGACGUACAGAUACCGUCGUAGUCUUAACCAUAAACCUAUGCCGACUAGGGAUCGGACGAUGUUAAUUUUUCAAUGACUCUGUUCGGCGCC